rnacentral:ncRNA from 1 species
CAAAGGUUUGGUCCUAGCCUUACUAUCAGCUUUAGCUCAAAUUACACAUGCAAGUUUCCGCAACCCCGUGAGGAUGCCCCCAACUUCCCACCCGGAAAUAGGGAGCCGGCAUCAGGCACAACCAACGUAGCCCAAGACGCCUUGCUCAGCCACACCCCCAAGGGAAUUCAGCAGUGACAAACAUUAAGCCAUAAGCGAAAGCUUGACUUAGUUAGAGUUAAAAGGGUCGGUAAAACUCGUGCCAGCCACCGCGGUUAUACGAGAGACCCUAGUUGAUCUCAACGGCGUAAAGAGUGGUUAUGGAGUUUUUUACUAAAGUGGAAGACCCCUCAAACUGUUAUACGCACCCGGGGGUUAGAACCCCUUACACGAAAGUAGCUUUAUUAGUGUCCACCAGAACCCACGAAAGCCAGGGUACAAACUGGGAUUAGAUACCCCACUAUGCCUGGCCAUAAACUUAGAUGAUUUUAUACAAUUAACAUCCGCCAGGGGACUACGAGCAUCAGCUUAAAACCCAAAGGACUUGGCGGUGCCUCAGACCCCCCUAGAGGAGCCUGUUCUAGAACCGAUAACCCCCGUUCAACCUCACCACUCCUUGCCCUUUCCGCCUAUAUACCACCGUCGCCAGCUUACCCUGUGAAGGUAAAAGUAAGCAAAAUGAAGAAUUUUCAGAACGUCAGGUCGAGGUGUAGCAUACGGAGUGGGAAGAAAUGGGCUACAUUGCCUAACCUAGGCAACCAACGGAAAAUCGCCUGAAAGAGCUGUUUGAAGGUGGAUUUAGCAGUAAAAGGGGAAUAGAGUGCCCCUUUGAAGCCGGCUCUGAGGCGCGCACACACCGCCCGUCACUCUCCCCAACAAAAUUUUUUCUAGUAAUUAACUCUAUUCUAUAAAAAAGGGGAGGCAAGUCGUAACAUGGUAAGUGUACCGGAAGGUGCACUUGGAAUAAC